UUUCAACUCCUUGGUUAGAACUUUUGUGCCCUAAUAAUCUAUCCAUACAGAGAACAACGUGAGCUCAUCCUCCACCGUGAGGACGGUUCAUCCUCCACACCGUGAGUUCAUCCUGCACCGACAUCAAGCUACAGCACCACCGUGAGUUCUAGGUGGGCUUUCACCUUCAUGCCUGCACGUUUGCAGCAGCAUGAAGUUAAGAGAGGGAGAUGUUAAUAAGAGAACUUGGUUAGUUAGCAAAUCUCCAUGCUUGAAUUGGGGUAUGUUUAGUGUGUUUAGAAGAUGAUGGGGAUGCCAUCACUAUGUUUAAUAAUCUUUUCCCCCCUGAAUGUUUCUUCUAGAGCACAUCAUGUAUCCCAAAGUUCACAUUGCACUAAGAAUGUCAGGUCAUCUUCGACUGGGCGUUGUUCGGAUAUAUUCAAAGAAAGUCAACUAUCUGUACCAAGACUACAAUUUUUUUCUGAUAACCAUGAGAAAAGCAUUUGCUUCUGUAGAAGUUAAUCUGCCAGAAGAUGCAACUCAUGCACCUUUUGACUCUGUCACUUUGCCAUAACGUUCAAACUUGAUGCCUUGAAUUUGGAUGAUGACUUCUCUUAUGACGGGGCUCGAGAUAAUCAUCUCCGGAGCGAGGUGGAGAUAGCACUCACAUGUGGGAGCAAUAAUGGGACCGCUGAUAACUACUGUUGUCAUUGCUCUCAAGGAUUUGUAUGCUGAAUUUGUUUUGGAUGAACUGAAGAAGAGUGAGACGUAGAGCGCUGCUGGGCGUGCUUUUAGUGCUUGCUUCCUGAGAAAUGUUCAUUGCUUCCUCAAAAACGCGUGUACAUUAUUGGUUGAGCUAAUUAGAACCCAAAAAAGAAAUAUCAGAAUUGUUUGUUUUAGAGUGGAUGUGUUUUUACCAAUAUGUGGACAGUGCAUUUAUCAAGUUUUGUUGGCUACAUUUUCUCUUUAGGACAGUCUUUUUGUUUUUGUUUUUGUUUUUGUUUUUUUUCUUCUAUUUAUGGUGUGAGCAUGAUGUAAAAAGUAAUCGAUCAAUCAUGUACUCCCUACGCCUGUAUGUAUACCUGACUGCCGCCCAAACCCCCUACGCCUGUAUGUAUACCUGACCGCUGUUGUAACAAAUGCCAGCUUGUAGCCGUCGGCUAUGCUGUUCCCUAUGACAACAAUCCAUUUUGCUCUA